AGGGACACCCUGGAAGCUGAGUUCCUGGCCAUGAUGGGAUCAGAGGCUGGAUCUGGAUGUCCUAAAGCCAAAUAUCUGAAGCUGGUAUUUUAACUACCUCACCUGAUUCUGAGGCAUGCCAACAUGGAGAACCCAAGAUCUAUAUAACACAUGGAUAGGGCAGCCAGGCCAGGGCUGCUAAAGACCAUUGAUGAAUCCAGGAACAUG
rnacentral:lncRNA from 10 species